rnacentral:rRNA from 1 species
AUUGAACGCUGGCGGCAUGCUUUACACAUGCAAGUCGAACGGUAACGGGGACUUCGGUCUGCCGACGAGUGGCGAACGGGUGAGUAAUAUAUCGGAACGUGCCCAGUAAUGGGGGAUAGCUCGGCGAAAGCCGGAUUAAUACCGCAUACGCCCUGAGGGGGAAAUGGGGGAUCUUCGGACCUCACGUUAUUGGAGCGGCCGAUAUCAGAUUAGCUAGUUGGUGGGGUAAAGGCCUACCAAGGCGACGAUCUGUAGCUGGUCUGAGAGGAUGAUCAGCCACACUGGGACUGAGACACGGCCCAGACUCCUACGGGAGGCAGCAGUGGGAAUUUUGGACAAUGGCGAAAGCCUGAUCCAGCCAUGCCGCGUGAGUGAGAAGGCCUCGGUGUAA